UACGUAGGGGGCGAGCGUUGUCCGGAUUUACUGGGCGUAAAGGGUGAGUAGGCGGUUAUGUAUGUCAGAUGUAAAAGGCACAGGCUUAACUUGUGUUAGCAUUUGAAACUGCAUGACUUGAGUGCAGGAGAGGUAAGCGGAAUUCCUAGUGUAGCGGUGAAAUGCGUAGAUAUUAGGAGGAACACCGGUGGCGAAGGCGGCUUACUGGACUGUAACUGACGCUGAGUCACGAAAGCGUGGGUAGCAAACAGGAUUAGAUACCCCCGUAGU
rnacentral:rRNA from 1 species